rnacentral:rRNA from 1 species
GGUAUGGGAUGAGCUUGCGUCCGAUUAGCUAGUUGGCGGGGCAACGGCCCACCAAGGCGACGAUCGGUAGCCGGCCUGAGAGGGUGAUCGGCCACAUUGGGACUGAGAUACGGCCCAGACUCCUACGGGAGGCAGCAGUAGGGAAUAUUGCACAAUGAGGGAAACCCUGAUGCAGCAACGCCACGUGUGGGAAGAAGCAUUUCGGUGUGUAAACCACUGUCAUGAGGGAAUAAGGCCCGCCUUCGGACGGGAUUGAAUGUACCUUGAGAGGAAGCACCGGCAAACUUCGUGCCAGCAGCCGCGGUAAUACGAGGGGUGCAAGCGUUGUUCGGAAUUACUGGGCGUAAAGGGAGCGUAGGCGGAGAUUCAAGCGGAUUGUACAAUCCCGGGGCCCAACCCCGGCUCUGCAGUCCGAACUGGAUCUCUUGGAUAGUUCAGGGGCAGGC